rnacentral:rRNA from 1 species
CCCCGUGACCAUAGGCUUGUCAAAGACUGAUCUCGUCAGAUCUCAGAGGCUGAGCAGGGCCAGGCUUGGUUAGUACUUGGAUGAGAUCGUAGGGAAUAUCAAGUGCCACAGUGG